AUCGGUUCCCCGCAUGGCGGUACCUCCCCCAAUUCCUCCAGGGCCGGAAGGCAGCAAAGGUAAGGGAGCUCUUCCGGGUAUGCGGGGGCCUUUUCU
rnacentral:SRP_RNA from 1 species